rnacentral:rRNA from 1 species
UACGAAGGGGGCUAGCGUUGCUCGGAAUGACUGGGCGUAAAGGGCGCGUAGGCGGAUGGCACAGUCAGAUGCGAAAUUCCCGGGCUUAACCUGGGGGCUGCAUUUGAUACGUGUUGUCUAGAGUGAGGAAGAGGGUUGUGGAAUUCCCAGUGUAGAGGUGAAAUUCGUAGAUAUUGGGAAGAACACCGGUGGCGAAGGCGGCAACCUGGUCCUUGACUGACGCUGAGGCGCGAAAGCGUGGGGAGCGAACAGG